rnacentral:rRNA from 1 species
UACGUAGGGUGCAAGCGUUGUCCGGAAUCAUUGGGCGUAAAGCGCGCGUAGGCGGCCAGAUAAGUCCGGUGUGAAAGUCACAGGCUCAACCUGUGAAUGCCGCUGGAAACUGUCUGGCUUGAGUCCGGAAGGGGCGAGUGGAAUUCCUGGUGUAGCGGUGAAAUGCGCAGAUAUCAGGAGGAACACCAAUGGCGAAGGCAGCUCGCUGGAACGGUACUGACGCUGAGGCGCGAAAGCGUGGGGAGCGAACAGG